GGAGGGUGCAAGCGUUAAUCGGAAUUACUGGGCGUAAAGCGCGCGUAGGUGGGUAUUUAAGUCAGAUGUGAAAGCCCUGGGCUCAACCUAGGAACUGCAUCUGAUACUGGGUACCUAGAGUAUAGUAGAGGAAGGCGGAAUUCCCGGUGUAGCGGUGAAAUGCGUAGAUAUCGGGAGGAACAUCAGUGGCGAAGGCGGCCUUCUGGACUAAUACUGACACUGAGGUGCGAAAGCGUGGGGGGAGCAAACAGGAUUAGAUACCCUGGUAGUCCACGCCGUAAACGAUGAGAACUAGGUGUUGGGGAAUUUUAUUCUUUAGUACCGAAGCUAACGCGUUAAGUUCUCCGCCUGGGGGAGUACGGCCGCAAGGCUAA
rnacentral:rRNA from 1 species